AACGUAGGUGGCGAGCGUUAUCCGGAUUUACUGGGCGUAAAGCGUGUGCAGGCGGGGUGACAAGUGGUGUAUGAAAUCUCCGGGCUAAACCUGGAGGGGUUAUGCCAGACUGUCAUUCUAGAGUGCGAGAGAGGGGCGUGGAAUUCCGGGUGUAGUGGUGAAAUGCGUAGAGAUCCGGGAGGAACCCCAGAGGCGAAGGCGGCGCCCUGGCUCGCAACUGACGCUCAGACACGA
rnacentral:rRNA from 1 species